rnacentral:rRNA from 1 species
UACGUAGGGUGCGAGCGUUGUCCGGAUUUAUUGGGCGUAAAGGGCUCGUAGGCGGUUCGUCACGUCGGGAGUGAAAACUCGGGGCUUAACCCCGAGCCUGCUUCCGAUACGGGCAGACUAGAGGUAGGCAGGGGAGAGCGGAACUCCUGGUGUAGCGGUGGAAUGCGCAGAUAUCAGGAAGAACACCGGUGGCGAAGGCGGCUCUCUGGGCCUUACCUGACGCUGAGGAGCGAAAGCGUGGGUAGCGAACAGG